GGUUAAGCGACUAAGCGUACACGGUGGAUGCCCUGGCAGUCAGAGGCGAUGAAGGACGUGCUAAUCUGCGAUAAGCGUCGGUAAGGUGAUAUGAACCGUUAUAACCGGCGAUUUCCGAAUGGGGAAACCCAGUGUGAUUCGUCACACUAUCAUUAACUGAAUCCAUAGGUUAAUGAGGCGAACCGGGGGAACUGAAACAUCUAAGUACCCCGAGGAAAAGAAAUCAACCGAGAUUCCCCCAGUAGCGGCGAGCGAACGGGGAGGAGCCCAGAGCCUGAAUCAGUGUGUGUGUUAGUGGAAGCGUCUGGAAAGGCGCGCGAUACAGGGUGACAGCCCCGUACACAAAAAUGCACAUGCUGUGAGCUCGAUGAGUAGGGCGGGACACGUGGUAUCCUGUCUGAAUAUGGGGGGACCAUCCUCCAAGGCUAAAUACUCCUGACUGACCGAUAGUGAACCAGUACCGUGAGGGAAAGGCGAAAAGAACCCCGGCGAGGGGAGUGAAAAAGAACCUGAAACCGUGUACGUACAAGCAGUGGGAGCACAGAGCAAUCUGUGUGACUGCGUACCUUUUGUAUAAUGGGUCAGCGACUUAUAUUCUGUAGCAAGGUUAACCGAAUAGGGGAGCCGAAGGGAAACCGAGUCUUAACUGGGCGUUAAGUUGCAGGGUAUAGACCCGAAACCCGGUGAUCUAGCCAUGGGCAGGUUGAAGGUUGGGUAACACUAACUGGAGGACCGAACCGACUAAUGUUGAAAAAUUAGCGGAUGACUUGUGGCUGGGGGUGAAAGGCCAAUCAAACCGGGAGAUAGCUGGUUCUCCCCGAAAGCUAUUUAGGUAGCGCCUCGUGAAUUCAUCUCCGGGGGUAGAGCACUGUUUCGGCAAGGGGGUCAUCCCGACUUACCAACCCGAUGCAAACUGCGAAUACCGGAGAAUGUUAUCACGGGAGACACACGGCGGGUGCUAACGUCCGUCGUGAAGAGGGAAACAACCCAGACCGCCAGCUAAGGUCCCAAAGUCAUGGUUAAGUGGGAAACGAUGUGGGAAGGCCCAGACAGCCAGGAUGUUGGCUUAGAAGCAGCCAUCAUUUAAAGAAAGCGUAAUAGCUCACUGGUCGAGUCGGCCUGCGCGGAAGAUGUAACGGGGCUAAACCAUGCACCGAAGCUGCGGCAGCGACACUGUGUGUUGUUGGGUAGGGGAGCGUUCUGUAAGCCUGUGAAGGUG
rnacentral:rRNA from 1 species